rnacentral:rRNA from 1 species
AUUGAACGCUGGCGGCAUGCCUUACACAUGCAAGUCGAACGGCAGCACGGGUGCUUGCACCUGGUGGCGAGUGGCGAACGGGUGAGUAAUACAUCGGAACAUGUCCUGUAGUGGGGGAUAGCCCGGCGAAAGCCGGAUUAAUACCGCAUACGAUCCACGGAUUAAAGCGGGGGACCUUCGUGCCUCGCUCUGUAGGGUUGUCCCAUGGCUGAUUCGCUAUUUGGUGGGGUAAAGGCCUACCAGGGCGGCGAUCAGUAGCUCGUCUGAGAGGAGGACGAGCGCCAGUGGGGGUGAGAGGCGGCACAGAGUCCUAGGGGAGGCAGAAGUGGGGAAUGGUGGAAGAUGGGGGAAAGACUGAUCCAGGAAUGCAGGGCGGGUGAAGAAGGGCUGCGGGUUGUAAAGCACUUUUGUGGGGGAAGAAAGCCUUGGAUCGAGUACAGGCGGGGGGUGACGGUAGCAGAAGAAGAAGCACCGGCUAACUACGUG